rnacentral:rRNA from 1 species
AUUGAACGCUGGCGGCAGGCCUAACACAUGCAAGUCGAACGGUAACAGGAAGCAGCUUGCUGCUUUGCUGACGAGUGGCGGACGGGUGAGUAAUGUCUGGGAAACUGCCUGAUGGAGGGGGAUAACUACUGGAAACGGUAGCUAAUACCGCAUAACGUCGCAAGACCAAAGAGGGGGACCUUCGGGCCUCUUGCCAUCGGAUGUGCCCAGAUGGGAUUAGCUUGUUGGUGGGGUAACGGCUCACCAAGGCGACGAUCCCUAGCUGGUCUGAGAGGAUGACCAGCCACACUGGAACUGAGACACGGUCCAGACUCCUACGGGAGGCAGCAGUGGGGAAUAUUGCACAAUGGGCGCAAGCCUGAUGCAGCCAUGCCGCGUGUAUGAAGAAGGCCUUCGGGUUGUAAAGUACUUUCAGCGGGAGGAAGGGAGUAAAGUUAAUACCUUUACUCAUUGACGUUACCCGCAGAAGAAGCACCGGCUAACUCCGUG